rnacentral:rRNA from 1 species
GACGAACGCUGGCGGCGUGCUUAACACAUGCAAGUCGAACUGAAAGUCCCUGCGGUUGUGGGGUGCUCGAGUUGCGAACGGAUGAGUAACACGUGAGUAACCUGCCCUUUACGUUGGGAUAACUUCAUGAAACUUGUUCUAAUACCGUAGAGGAGCUCCUUCUUCAUGGUGGUAGUUGGAGAGUUUCGGCGUUUGGGGAUGUACUCGCGGCGUAUCAGCUUGUUGGUGGGGUAGUGGCUUAACAAGGCUUUGACGGGUAGCCGGCCUGAGAGGGUGAACGGCCAAAUUGGGACUGAGAUACGGCCCCGACUUCUAAGGGAGGGAGCAGUGGGGAAUAAUGCACCAUGGGAGGAAGACUGAUGUAGCAAAGUCGCGUGCGGGAUGACGGCCUUCGGGUUGUAAAACGCUUUUGCAUGUGACGAAGCGUGAGUGACGGUACUGGGUAAAGAAGCAACGGCUAACUACGUG